rnacentral:lncRNA from 1 species
GGGUUUUCCGAUUUUUGCAGAUUUAGCUUUCCUUCUAACUUAGCUUCGAUAGUCCUAAAAACUUGAAAAGAAAAUAAACUAAAAUUGAAAAGAUUUUAAAAUGCAAAAGUUGGAUUGCCUCCCAACAAUUGCUAAGUUUAAAAUUUUCGAUCGGACUAAAUCUUUGAUACAGGAUCAGUUAGUAUAAAUGAGCUCAUGGAGAACUAUGGCCUCCUUCACAACUUCAAUGGACAACUUCAAGAAUG